ensembl:lncRNA
ACGCAGAGAGAAAUCAGACACUAAAAGAGCAACUCUGUGCAGCAACACCACAGAGACACUGUGAGUUUUUCAUAAGAAGGACAGUUGGAACCUAUUAGUUGAAUUAACAAAAGAUAAAUUUUUAUGUUUUGUGCGUAACAGAAUGAAGUAGCACAAACUUUGGAGAAAGUCCUGUCGUCUCACUCUCGUCUGCAGCAGAACACACGGACACUGAUGCAGAGCUAAGAGAAAGAGCACAGGAACUACACACACUCAGGAGAGAGAGGUGUGUGUGAGAGAGACUACAAGAGGACAAACGUCUGAUUAAAGGAUCAGGGUCAAUACAACUUAACGGGGGACUCGUUUUUUGUUGCACUAGCCAAUAUGGCAGGACUUGUGGCAUGGAUGUAGGGAGCAUUACCCAAAAGUUUUCAGUGUAUCUCAUUGUAGCAGUGCUGUUUUCACAGUGAGCAUGUUUAAAGGAAUAGUUCAACCAAAAAUGUACAUUUUUUGAAAAUGUACACACCCUCAGGCAAUCCAAGACAUAGAUGAGUUUGUUUCUUAAUGGGAACAGAUUUUGAGAAAUUUAACAUUGCAUCACUUGCUCACCGAUGGAUGCUCUGCAGUGAAUGGGUGCCGUCAGAAUGAGAGUCCAAACAGCUGAUAAAAACAUCACAAUAAUUCACAAGUAAACCACAGCACUCCAGUCCAUCAAUUAACAUAUUCUGAAGCAUGUUUGUAAGAAACAAAUCUAUCGUCAAGGCGUUUUAACUUUAAACUGUCAUAAACCAUCUUAAACCGUUUCACUCAUUAGCUGAAAGGAAAUUAUAACCAUACUAACACAGUUAAAAGGAAAAUUUAGAAACCAGCUCAAAGUAACAUAUUUUUAUUUGGAAAACUUAAUAAAAAGCUUUAAUAUUUGCUCAUUUCUGUGGAAUAUUUGCUAAUUUCUUGCUAUAUAGUCUUCCAUUAUAAGUGCAUCAGUGGAAAGAUGAUUUUUGUGUGUUUUCACUCAGUGAUUGUUUGUAGUAAUCAGCAUUAUGUUGUGUUUGUCAGACUGCAGGCUAUGUUAGAGAUUCAGAGGCUUGAAGCUGAAGUAGAGAAUCACAACACAAGGAACAAUGAGAAGCUGAAGAAGGCACUAAAUGAUGCAUCUGCAAAGUCAGGUGACCUCUCACGAGCCAAUCAGGAGCUUCGAGAGAAGGUGUCUGAGCUGGAAAAGUUGGUGUCCAAUCAGAAGUCUCGACUGAGUCAGUAUCUGGACAACAGAACAGCUCUGAAACACUCUCUGAGAAUCAAGCACCUGGAAGAGAGUUUGAAACGGCUCCAGGAUGAGGCAGAAGUGAGACUCAGGGAAGUUUAUCUGGAGUCACAGCAGAUCACAGAGAACAUGGACGAGGACCACAGAGGGCUCUGCUCUAAAUCUGAGAGCUUUAAUGGCCAGGCUGAGCCACAGAAACUCACAGAGCUUUCGCAAGAGGGGAGAAGACAGCACAUGGUCCACUUCAGCUCAGGAGAUUGUCUUUUGGGUUUUCUUUCGGGAUCGCCGGUGACCCGCUGUGUGGAAACGCACUGAGCCAUGCGUCAGUUGAAGGGCAAGCCGAAGAAGGAGUCAUGGAAGGACAAAAAGGAGCGCAAACAGGCCAUGCAGGAGGCGCGGGAGCAGGUGACAACCAUCGUUCUACCGACGCUCAUCUUGCUCGUGCUGCUCAUCGUCCUCCUCGUCUACGUGGCGACGAGACCCGGAGCCAUCGAGUAAAAAGACUCCAAAUAGCCAAAUCUCCUCUGCCCUUGUCUUUCUCUUUCAUUUCCCCUUGUUCCUUCACAAUGCAGAGUUCAGUGGAUGAAUUGGACACAGUCAUAAAGAUGAAUGGAUUGAUAAAGGAGUGCUUUUCUGUGUCAUGUUUGGAGUAUGUUGAAGGAGUCUUCCAUUUCGGCUUCUGACAGAGCACCUCUCCCAGCCACCAGCAUUCGCGUCUGUGGCAGCCAUGUUGGCUCCAAAUGCAUUUACAGGGUUCUAGUUUCAUGCCAAAGCACCUGAGACACAGCAGACUCAGACUGACCCAGGAACCGGGCCAGAUCUGAUGCCUCUGUGCUCAAAGUCAAUACAAAUGAGAAGUGACUGUAGUAUUGCACAUGUUUGUAGCAUGCAAAUGCACACACACACACAGAUCCACAAAUGAACAUUGAUGGGUGUCACAUGAAACCAUUUAUGACAGAAUUGUAUGUUACCCAGAAUGUAUACUUCUUAUUGCUCAUUACCGAAUCCCUUAACAAGCAGUUCCUGAUGUUUUUGGUUAAUGUGUGUGUGUGUGUGUGUAAGCAUAUGCACAAUGAAGUGCAUGUUUCUGUCACAUCUGUGAUAUACAAUCAAAGCAGCAAACGUACUCUUAUUUUAAAAUGUAUUCCAGCAGGACUUGGAUCUAAAAAUGUGCCUUAAUGUUUAAUGACAUAACAGCAUUUAAAGUAUUAAUAAAGAAAUAGAAAGCCAUGCUGACUGCUUUAAG